ACCACAAGAAGUGCAUUUGGGAUAAUGGAAAGAGAAGUUUUUGCGUUUGUGAGAAUGGGAAAGUUUGAAGGAAUGAUGGCAGAGUUUGCAAAGGAAUUGUUGGUUACCGUAUUUGUCAUGACCAUUUUUGUACAAGCUGGUAGAACCGCAUUUGGGACAAGAGAGUGUUGAGUUGUUCAUAUCGGGAUACCUCCUUUGUCAAAAGUUGGUUGGGGGGUGUCCCCUCUUUAAAGGAUAAUGCGGUUUUUGGAAAGUUUCAAUACUUUUAGUUAACAUUAUCA
rnacentral:rRNA from 1 species